GGGUCAGUAGGUUGGUCGUGCCACCGGUACGUACUGGUCUCACUGAUUCCUCCUUCCUGAAGAACCGUAAUGCCAUUAAUUUGGUGUUGCGGGGAAACAGGACUGUUACUUUGAAAAAAUUAGAAUGUAUAAAGCAAGCUAACGCUUGAAUACAUUAGCAUGGAAUAAUGAAAUAGGACGAUCGAUCCUAUUUUGUUGGUUUCUAGGAUUGACGUA
rnacentral:rRNA from 1 species